GUGAGGAAUAUUGGUCAAUGGUCGGAAGACUGAACCAGCCAUGCCGCGUGCAGGAAGACGGUCCUAUGGAUUGUAAACUGCUUUUAUUCGGGGAUAAACCUCCUUACGUGUAGGGAGCUGAAGGUACCGAAAGAAUAAGCACCGGCUAACUCCGUGCCAGCAGCCGCGGUAAUACGGAGGGUGCAAGCGUUAUCCGGAAUCAUUGGGUUUAAAGGGUCCGCAGGCGGGCUAUCAAGUCAGAGGUGAAAUCCCACAGCUUAACUGUGGAACUGCCUUUGAAACUGAUGGUCUUGAAUUAAGUGGGCGUUGGCGGAAUAUGACAUGUAGCGGUGAAAUGCAUAGAUAUGUCAUGGAACACCGAAAGCGAAGGCAGCUAACGAUACUUAUAUUGACGCUCAUGGACGAAAGCGUGGGUAGCGAACAGGAUUAGAUACCCGAGUAGUCC
rnacentral:rRNA from 1 species